GGACAGGGAGGCGUGGCAUGCUGCGAUUCAUGGGGUCGCAAAGAGUCGGAUACAACUGAGUGACUAAACUCAAAUGCCUGAAUAUCUUGAAGCUGGCAGUGUUGUUGAAUGAGCUAAUAUAUUCUGAUUCUUCUCUUUUUUUGGCCAUGCCCCACAGCUUGUGGGAUCUAGUUCACCGACUAGGGCCACUGCAGGCUGUGAAAGCUCGAAAUCCUAACCACUAGACCACCAGGGACUUCCAUUUCUUCCCCUUUCUUUCUUUUUUUUUCUUAUUGUUGAUCCUUUGUGUCUGAGCAGUUUCCUCUUUGCUUGCUUCAUUUUAUUUUCAUUUCAUUUCUCUGGGCUAGAAAGAUCAGCCCAGACAUUUUAUGAUAAUUGCUUCAAUUUACAUCAUUUAGAACCCACUGUGCUGACCACUGUGUGGGUCAUAUCAAUUAGAAGACUUAAAAUACUUAAGCUCUUUAAAAAUUAUAUUUUGUCUUUUCUCUGAUAAUUUUCUUCCCAACGUUUUUCCAUUCUCUUUUUCUGAAUUAUCUCUUAGUCAUGUAUUAGAUCUACCUGUCUGACCUCACAAUUGUUAAUUUUUUUUCUCUUUUACUCUCUAUUUUGUCUUUUUUUCCUACUUUAUGGGAGAUUUCCUAGAUUCUAUCUUCAAAUAUACCAUGGAAGGCUCUUUUUAGGCUUUCUUUUUAGGCUCUUUUUAGGCUUUCAUACUGAUAUUUUAAUGUCUAUGAGCCAUUUUUGACUCCCUGAUGGUUGUUUCAUUGUUUUAAAUAGUAUGCUGCUCACUGCCGCAGCACAUAUGCUAAAGUUGGAACAAUGUAGAGAAGAUGAGCAUGGCAAGUGUGCAAGGAUGACAAGCAAAUUCAUGAAGCAUUCCAUAAAAAAAUUUAAAAAAAUAAGUAGUACGCUGUUCUUAUUUCAUGGAUGCAAUGUUUUCUCAUAUUUUAAUUAUACAAUCUUUAUUCCAUCUUUGUACCGUCUGUUUUUCUUAAAAUCACUCUUUUAGUUACAUUUUGGUCAAGUCUUCAUUUUGGAGGCUUUUCUCAAAUGUCUGACCUCUAACCUCUUAUCUAUAUUUAAGAGUGUAGCAGAAAGAGCUCCUUAGAAACUCUCUGUAUGAAGGUAGGACUUGUUGACUGAUGGACUUUGUU
rnacentral:lncRNA from 1 species